rnacentral:rRNA from 1 species
GAUGAACGCUGGCGGUAUGCUUAACACAUGCAAGUCGAACGGACUCUUCGGAGUUAGUGGCGGACGGGUGAGUAACGCGUGAGAAUCUGGCUUUGGGUUCGGGACAACCACUGGAAACGGUGGCUAAUACCGGAUGUGCCGAGAGGUAAAAGAGAAAUUGCCUGAAGAUGAGCUCGCGUCUGAUUAGCUAGUUGGUGAGGUAAGGGCUCACAAAGGCAGCGAUCAGUAGCUGGUCUGAGAGGAUGACCAGCCACACUGGGACUGAGACACGGCCCAGACUCCUGCGGGAGGCAGCAGUGGGGAAUUUUCCGCAAUGGGCGAAAGCCUGACGGAGCAAUACCGCGUGAGGGAAGAAGGCUCUUGGGUUGUAAACCUCUUUUCUUAGGGAAGAACAAAAUGACGGUACCUAAGGAAUCAGCAUCGGCUAACUCCGUG